UCUUCCUGUUCACCUCUUAAAACCCCAAAACACACCGCAGUAGCACCCCAAACUAAAACUACCAAUGGGUUCUCUGUUUUCCUUUCUGAACAAUUCAAAGGUCCCUCUCUGUCUCCCCACACAUCCACCAACCACUGGAACACAUCUCCAAAGUUCUGCCGGGCCAGCUCAGCUUCCCCUCAGAAGAAGUUCCACCAGAUGAAGGAACCUUUUGAGAGGCAGCUGGCAUCGUGAUUGGACUGUACUUUGGUCUGUUCCAAUCCAGCUUCAGCUCCAGAGACGGCAGGCGGGACGAGUCAACGGAGGCCGGGUGGACGAAGGCAUGCAGCUGAGUACAAUCCAGAAAACAACAGAGGAGGAGUGCAGUGACCCAGGGCCAGAACAAACAACCAAAGAACUACAGACUCUUCACAACCUGCUCAAACUCUUGGUACAGGACCUCACCACACGGGUCAAGAAGGUUUCUGUCUCAUUUCUACUCUGAAGCUCACCUUCUCCUGCUCAAACUGCUGACAAAUGUUUCUGCUGCUCUAAAGUCUGGUCUCCAGAACUUUCUAAAAACUCUCAAAGUCUCUUCUGCUGCAGGUUGCUUUGUAGAACUGUUACAGAAAACCUCACUAAACCACAUGGAGGGGCCUCAAGAUAGUCGUCCAAAUGAAACCAUACAAAAACCAAACUGGCACAACCCAAACGCUAAAGUCUCCUGCAGCCUACCAGAGAACCUCUGAGAACAGAGAAUCAGGACAGGAACUCUUACCUUCUGGACAACCAACGUUGGUUCUCAAACAAGAAUACAGAAUGUGUCUGACCAAAAAUCUCUAAAGACUCACUACAGCCAAGAUAAAGACACAACUCAGCUGCACCAAAUCCACUAAUCACUGCACACAUUAGCACCAUGUGCUAACUGUGGCUAAAGAACCUCAUUUACCAAGACAACUAUCCAGUACAAAGCCCUAAAACACACCAAGAAACACAUUAAAGAUGAUUUUACUGCUGGAAGCUGCAAGCCAACGCCUAAAGAACAAACUGAAGCAACGGAACCAAACCCGGUUCAUUGGUGAACAGAAGCAGAGGAAAUGUUUGUCUGCAGCUAAAUAAAGCAGGAAGACACUGAGCUGCUCAGGUGUUCCUGAUAACACCAAGCAGCCACCUGGACAGCCAAUAGGAACACAGCUUACUGGAAGUCCAGAGGGCGGGGUUAGUGAAGGAAAUUUAAUUUAAAGUUGAAGCAUAAAGUUAACAAAGAAAGUUGAAAACCACCUUCUGAUACCUGAAAUCUCUGAGUUUUCACACAAAGAACACCUGAACAUGUCAAACUGGUUCCAUAGUAGAACCAUCAUUGUAAAAACGUCAUAGUAUGGUGUGUUGCUCAAAAAACAUUAUGACCCGGCUGUCUAGGGUCGCCGAGGAGCAACACAAAAACAGGACAAACGCUGGUUUCCAGGGGGUUAGGCAGCUGUUUAUUUGAAAGAGUAAGUUUACAACAACACAACAUGUGAGCAGAAAAAUCACAGUCUGUCUUUAGUUCAGCUGAAAAUAUUAGUUUUUGUCUUUUUUAUUGACCAAACUUUUCAGGAAGUAGAUGAAGAAUAAUUAAAGCUCUCAUGUAGAAGUCCAACUUAUUUUGGAUCCUUGUGGAGAGUUUAAUCUUAGAGUUUGUACAGCUGUUGAGUUUUUAGAGUCACAUGGAUUGUUUUGACAUUUAAUAACUGAGUCCUGAAAUAAAAUUACAGUUGUGGA